UCGAUGCAUUCUUAUUAGUAUGUAUCCUGACAAUUAGCACCCAUUUCGAAGAAAAAAACGGUGGUAUUUUUUUUUAAUUUUCUCUCGAGUUUAUCGAUUGUUCGUUAGGGUUAGGGUGUCUAGAUUACCCUAGCUUCAAGUUCGAGAUCAACUGAGGUGGCUUGAUCUUGUUCUUUCUAGAUUACUUUCAUUUGAUUUUUAGCGUUUUAGGGUGUUUUUUUUCCGGUUGCAGCAUCUGUUGGUUUUGAGAUCCAUCUGAGGGAUCUCCACACCAAUACUGAGAAGAUUCAGUUUUAUCGCUGGGACACUGGAUGUCAAGAGAAGCUUAGAGUGCUUAGAAAUGAUAUGAGUACACUAAUCUGCAUGUGUUUUAAUCGAGGAAUUUGUUGCAUUUUCUUCUUGAAAUGGCUCUAUCUAUUUCUGUUUGACAACUGCAAAGAAGGUUGGGCAGUGCAAAGUUGAGACAACACAUCCAAUGCUUUGAAUCGAAAGAAGGAAUAGGUUUCCAUCUAAGAAGAACUUACCUCGUCGGAGAUCGGAGCCAUCGACGGCGACGGCGAGGGGGCAACGAGGACGGAGAUCGGAACCCUCGACGGUUCGUCGACGGCUAUCGUCGGAGGCGGAGGCAGCGGUCGGCGUCGGCUUCGUGGGCUCGCCAGAGCGUGGAGGCGAGGGCAUCGAGGACUCGCCAGAGCGACAAAGGCGAGGCUGAAAUCGCCUGUCACUGGGGUGUGGAAAUCGCCUGCGGGCGUGGAGAAGAACUCGCGUGAAAGGGGAGAAUCUCGCCUGUCACCUUGGAUCUCGCCUGCGUGGGUGGAAUCCAGCUGGACCGCACCAAUUGCCCUAGGGUUUCCCUAUAAAAGGGAAACCCUGUACACGGAGCUGUUGAGCCAAUCUUCAACGAAUUUUACAGAGAGAAAAAUUUCUUUGUGGCGGCUGGGAGUUCAACUCAGGCAGCUUUAACUCCAGCGGAUAUUCUCGGAUUUGAGAAUCAAUUUUUUCGGUUAAGAAAAAAUGUAUUAUUCCUGUAGCAUUUACUACAGUGAAGGAAGUUGGUGUUGUGAGAGCUCUAUUUUGAGAUUCUCACUUUUAUAAGCUUUGUAAUGUCUUGUGGUUAAAUAAGAAAUUAAAUUGUGUGGCUCCCGUGGACGUAGGCAAGUUUGCCGAACCACGUA